rnacentral:rRNA from 1 species
AACGAACGCUGGCGGCAGGCUUAACACAUGCAAGUCGAACGCCCCGCAAGGGGAGUGGCAGACGGGUGAGUAACGCGUGGGAAUCUACCUAGUUCUACGGAACAACACAGGGAAACUUGUGCUAAUACCGUAUACGCCCUAAGGGGGAAAGAUUUAUCGGAAUUAGAUGAGCCCGCGUAAGAUUAGCUAGUUGGUGGGUA